rnacentral:lncRNA from 1 species
AACCUGGUUGUAAAAGGUCUUUGUCACAGUUACUGAUUUUAUAUCUGUAUUUUUGCAUUGCAGAUGAGGAUCUUUAAGUCUCUAGAGUAUUGGAUCUGAGACCUACAAUAAAAUACUUCAGCAACUGUACUUUGGUUGAUGCAGUUUCUCCUAAUAAACAAGACAGCUAAAAACUUGGAGAGUUAGUUCCAUGCUCACUUUGGUUACUGACUGGCAAUGCACCCACAAGCAGAAUGCUAGAUGUAUGCACCACUGAGGAAUUAGAGAAAGAGCACAUCUUGGGACACAGGAACAGCCAUGACUGGUAUACGACCUCGGCUCUUUGAGAAAGACGGGAGUGGUUCCAGAGCGCUCACAAGUUAGGCGACAAUCGUCUU